rnacentral:rRNA from 1 species
GACGAACGCUGGCGGCGUGCUUAACACAUGCAAGUCGAGCGGUAAGGCCCUUUCGGGGGUACACGAGCGGCGAACGGGUGAGUAACACGUGGGUGACCUGCCCUCAGCUCUGGGAUAAGCCCGGGAAACUGGGUCUAAUACUGGAUAUGACUCCAUGACGCAUGUUGUGGGGUGGAAAGCCUUGUGCGGCUGAGGAUGGGCCCGCGGCCUAUCAGCUUGUUGGGGGGUGAUGGCCUACCAAGGCGACGACGGGUAGCCGGCCUGAGAGGGCGACCGGCCACACUGGGACUGAGACACGGCCCAGACUCCUACGGGAGGCAGCAGUGGGGAAUCUUGCGCAAUGGGCGAAAGCCUGACGCAGCGACGCCGCGUGGAGGAUGAAGGCUUUCGGGUUGUAAACUCC